rnacentral:rRNA from 1 species
CUCAGGAUGAACGCUGGCGGCGUGCUUAACACAUGCAAGUCGAACGGUGAAGCCCAGCUUGCUGGGUGGAUCAGUGGCGAACGGGUGAGUAACACGUGAGCAACCUGCCCCUGACUCUGGGAUAAGCGCUGGAAACGGCGUCUAAUACUGGAUACGAGACGUGAUCGCAUGGUCAACGUUUGGAAAGAUUUUUUGGUUGGGGAUGGGCUCGCGGCCUAUCAGCUUGUUGGUGAGGUAAUGGCUCACCAAGGCGUCGACGGGUAGCCGGCCUGAGAGGGUGACCGGCCACACUGGGACUGAGACACGGCCCAGACUCCUACGGGAGGCAGCAGUGGGGAAUAUUGCACAAUGGGCGCAAGCCUGAUGCAGCAACGCCGCGUGAGGGAUGACGGCCUUCGGGUUGUAAACCUCUUUUAGCAAGGAAGAAGCGAAAGUGACGGUACUUGCNGAAAAAGCGCCGGCUAACUACGUGCCA